rnacentral:rRNA from 1 species
CUACGGGUGGCAGCAGUGGGGAAUAUUGCACAAUGGGCGCAAGCCUGAUGCAGCAACGCCGCGUGAGGGAUGAAGGCCUUCGGGUUGUAAACCUCUUUUAGCAGGGAAGAAGCGAAAGUGACGGUACCUGCAGAAAAAGCACCGGCUAACUACGUGCCAGCAGCCGCGGUAAUACGUAGGGUGGAAGCGUUGUCCGGAAUUAUUGGGCGUAAAGAGCUCGUAGGCGGUUUGUCACGUCUGCUGUGAAAAUCCAAGGCUCAACCUUGGACUUGCAGUGGGUACGGGCAGGCUAGAGUGCGGUAGGGGAGAUGGGAAUUCCUGGUGUAGCGGUGGAAUGCGCAGAUAUCAGGAGGAACACCAAUGGCGAAGGCACAUCUCUGGGCCGUAACUGACGCUGAGGAGCGAAAGCGUGGGGAGCGAACAGGAUUAGAUACCCCAGUAGUC